GCGACGAUCGACUGGAGUAAGGAGGAACACCAGAACUACCUUUGUGCACAAAAUGGACUAAGUUUUGCUUCUAAACAGUUGAAAGUUUACACGAUGCAGGGUUUGAGUCAUAUUAAAACAGAUAUAAGUUUAAAGUUGAAAGGAAUACCGGAGUGUAAGGCAAAAUGCAGCGAUAAAGCCGUUCAUGGGACAAAAUAUACAAGAUGGUGUUGUAGCUGUUCGAUGUGGAAGAACUGUUUGCAGCAACAUAUGAUUGAAUUAAACCUGAAAUAUGCGAAUUCUUGGGAGCAGAAUCCGACAAUCGAAGAUCUUGCUAAUUUGUCCAUUCCAAGGACUUGGUCGAAUUCUAGCAAACCAGAUAUCAGCGACAUAUCAUUCUGUACAUACCUUUGGUCGAACUAUGCCGUUUUUAAGAUUGACUUUCGCGUAAGAAAGGAGUUGCAACGAGUAAGAAAUCAAUAUAUUGGACACAAUUCGAUUUGUAAACUUUCCAGUAAACAAAUGAUAGAUUGUUUUUCUCAAAUUGCUCGCGUGUUUCGCGACAGUGAUGUCUCCUUACACAUAGAUGAAAAUAAUUCUUUAAUGGAACUUGAAUAUAUCAAAAUAAACAGGCAUAUUAAUAGUGCCAGGCCCUGUGAACAUAGCACAAAGAUAAACCGAAUUUCGAUCAUUUUAAUUUUCGUGGUAGUUCUGGAGGUAGUUCUCCUUAUUUUCCAACUCCAGUCGAGUAACACCGUAAGAAUGUGUUAGAGGUCGGUAGCUGAGAAAUAGACAACUAAGACAUUUGAGCAGCCUUUACUAGUAUGAUGGAGACCAAUGUUGAAUUAUGCAUAUUCGUGGUAUUGAAAUGUAGAUCUAACGUUGAGGUUUAUUCUUAAGUUAGAAACAGUUUUAAUAAGCAUUGUUACGCUGAUUGUUAGGCAGCGUGUUAAUAAGCAUUCUUACGCUUAUUCUUAUGUUAGAAACAGUGUUAAUAAGCAUUGUUUCGCUGAUUGUUCGACAACGUGUUAAUAAGCAUUCUUACGCUGAUUCUGAUUGUUAGAAACAGGGUUAAUAAGCAUUGUUACGCUGAUUGUUAGACAACUUCUUAAUAAGCAUUCUUACGCUUAUUCUUAUGUUAGAAACAGUGUUAAUAAGCAUUGUUACGCUGUUUGUUAGACAACUUGUUAAUAAGCAUUCUUACGCUUAUUCUUAUGUUAGAAACAGUGUUAAUAAGCAUUGUUACGCUGAUUGUUAGACAACUUGUUAAUAAGCAUUCUUACGCUUAUUCUUAUGUUAGAAACAGUGUUAAUAAGCAUUGUUACGCUGAUUGUUAGGCAGCGUGUUAAUAAGCAUUCUUACGCUUAUUCUUAUGUUAGAAACAGUUUUAACAAGCAUUGUUACGCUGAUUGUUAGGCAGCGUGUUAAUAAGCAUUCUUACGCUUAUUCUUAUGUUAGAAACAGUGUUAAUAAGCAUUGUUUCGCUGAUUGUUCGACAACGUGUUAAUAAGCAUUCUUACGCUGAUUCUGAUUGUUAGAAACAGUGUUAAUAAGCAUUGUUACGCGGAUUGUUAGACAACUUGUUAAUAAGCAUUCUUACGCUUAUUCUUAUGUUAGAAACAGUGUUAAUAAGCAUUGUUACGCUGAUUGUUAGACAACUUGUUAAUAAGCAUUCUUACGCUUAUUCUUAUGUUAGAAACAGUGUUAAUAAGCAUUGUUAUGCUGAUUGUUAGACAACUUGUUAAUAAGCAUUCUUACGCUUAUUCUUAUGUUAAAAACAGUGUUAAUACGCAUUGUUACGCUGAUUGUUAGUGUUAAUAAUCAUUGUUACGCUGAUUGAUUGACAGAGUGUUAAUAAGCAUUGUUACGCUGAUUGUUUGACAGAGUGUUAAUACGCAUUGUUACGCUGAUUGUUUGACAGAGUGUUAAUAAGCAUUGUUACGCUGAUUGUUUGACAGAGUGUUAAUAAGCAUUGUUGCGCUGAUUGUUUGACAGAGUGUUAAUACGCAUUGUUACGCUGAUUGUUUGACAGAGUGUUAAUAAGCAUUGUUACGCUGAUUGUUUGACAGAGUGUUAAUAAGCAUUGUUACGCUGAUUGUUUGACAGAGUGUUAAUACGCAUUGUUACGCUGAUUGUUUGACAGAGUGUUAAUAAGCAUUGUUACGCUGAUUGUUUGACAGAGUGUUAAUAAGCAUUGUUACGCUGAUUGUUUGACAGAGUGUUAAUAAGCAUUGUUACGCUGAUUGUUUGACAGAGUAUUAAUACGCAUUGUUACGCUGAUUGUUUGACAGAGUGUUAAUAAGCAUUGUUACGCUGAUUGUUUGACAAAUUGUUAAAAGGCAUUGUUACGCUGAUUGUUCGACAGAGUGUUAAUAAGCAUUGUUACGCUGAUUGUUUGACAGAGUGUUAAUACGCAUUGUUACGCUGAUUGUUUGACAGAGUGUUAAUAGACAUUGUUACGCUGAUCGUUUGAGAGAGUGUUAAUAAGCACUGUUACGCUGAUUGUUUGACAGAGUGUUAAUAGGCAUUGUUACGCUGAUCGUUUGACAGAGUGUUAAUAAGCAUUGUUACACUGAUUGUUUGACAGAGUGGUAAUAGGCACUGUUACACUGAUUGUUUGACAGAGUGGUAAUAGGCAUUGUUACGCUGAUCGUUUGACAGAGUGUUAAUAAGCAUUGUUACGCUGAUUGUUUGACAGAGUGGUAAUAAGCAUUGUUACGCUAAUUGUUUGACCGAGUGUUAAUACGCAUUGUUACACUGAUUGUUUGACAGAGUGGUAAUAGGCACUGUUACACUGAUUGUUUGACAGAGUGGUAAUAGGCAUUGUUACGCUGAUCGUUUGACAGAGUGUUAAUAAGCAUUGUUACGCUGAUUGUUCGACAGAGUGUUAAUAAGCAUUGUUACGCUGAUUGUUUGACAGAGUGAUAAUACGCAUUGUUACGCUGAUUGUUUGACAGAGUGUUAAUAAGCAUUGUUACACUGAUUGUUUGACAGAGUGUUAAUAAGCAUUGUUACGCUGAUCGUUUGACAGAGUGUUAAUAAGCAUUGUUACGCUGAUUGUUCGACAGAGUGUUAAUAAGCAUUGUUACGCUGAUUGUUUGACAGAGUGUUAAUACGCAUUGUUACGCUGAUUGUUUGACAGAGUGUUAAUAAGCAUUGUUACGCUGAUUGUUUGACAGAGUGUUAAUAAGCAUUGUUACGCUGAUUGUUUGACAGAGUGUUAAUACGCAUUGUUACGCUGAUUGUUUGACAGAGUGUUAAUAGGCACUGUUACGCUGAUUGUUUGACAGAGUGUUAAUAGGCACUGUUACGCUGAUUGUUUGACAGAGUGUUAAUAGGCAUUGUUACGCUGAUCGUUUGACAGAGUGUUAAUAAGCAUUGUUACACUGAUUGUUUGACAGAGUGGUAAUAGGCACUGUUACACUGAUUGUUUGACAGAGUGGUAAUAGGCAUUGUUACGCUGAUCGUUUGACAGAGUGUUAAUAAGCAUUGUUACGCUGAUUGUUUGACAGAGUGUUAAUAAGCACUGUUACACUGAUUGUUUGACAGAGUGGUAAUAGGCAUUGUUACGCUGAUUGUUUGACAGCGUGUUUAUAAGCAUUGUUACACUGAUUGUUUGACAGAGUGUUAAUAAGCACUGUUACACUGAUUGUUUGACCGAGUGUUAAUAAGCAUUGUUACGCUUAUUGUUUGACAGAGUGUUAAUGAGCACUGUUACACUGACUGGCAGAGUGUUAAUAAGCAUUGUUACGCUGAUUGUUAGACAGCGUGUUAAUAAGCAUUGUUACACUGAUUGUUUGACAGAGUGUUAAUAAGCAUUGUUACGCUGAUUGUUCGACAGAUUGUUACGCUGAUUGUUAGUGUUAAUGAGCAUUGUUACGCUGAUUGUUAGUGUUAAUAAGCAUUGUUACGCUGAUUGUUCGACAGAUUGUUACGCUGAUUGUUAGUGUUAAUAAGCAUUGUUACGCUGAUUGUUCGACAGAUUGUUACGCUGAUUGUUCUACAGAGUGUUAAUAAGCAUUGUUACGCUGAUUGUUCUACAGAGUGUUAAUAGGCAUUGUUACGCUGAUUGUUCGACAGAGUGUUAAUAAGCAUUGUUACGCGGAUUGUUUGACAGAGUGUUAAUAAGCAUUGUUACGCGGAUUGUUUGACAGCGUGUUAAUAAGCAUUGUUACGCUGAUUGUUCGACAGAGUGUUAAUAAGCAUUGUUACGCUGAUUGUUAGACAGAGUGAUAAUAAGCAUUGUUACGCUGAUUUUUCGAUAGAGUGUUAAUAAGCAUUGUUACGCUGAUUGUUAGACAGAGUGAUAAUAAGCAUUGUUACGCUGAUUGUUCGACAGAGUGGUAAUAAGCAUUGUUACGCUAAUUGUUUGACCGAGUGUUAAUACGCAUUGUUACGCUGAUUGUUAGACAGAGUGAUAAUAAGCACUGUUACACUGAUUGUUUGACAGAGUGAUAAUAAGCAUUGUUACGCUGAUUGUUUGACCGAGUGUUAAUACGCAUUGUUACGCUGAUUGUUAGACAGAGUGAUAAUAAGCAUUGUUACGCUGAUUGUUUGACCGAGUGAUUAUAAGCAUUGUUACGCUGAUUGUUAGACAGAGUGUUAAUGAGCAUUGUUACGCUGAUUGUUAGACAGCCUGUCAAUAAACAUUGUUACGCUGAAGUUGAAAAGUAUAGAAAAAUGAAAAAAAAAAUGAAAAAUAUAUAAAAGACAAAAAAAGAGCAAAACAAUCUGAAAAAAAGUAUAAAUAACAUACAUAUACAUUUUUUCUGAUCAAUGGCAUGUAUUAACUUAUAAAAAUAUCAACUCAAUUAUAGAACCUCUUAUUUGUUUAAACAAAACCCAUAAGUCUUGCAUUCUCUCAAACUACUUUAUAAACGCGGUUUCCUCAUAUCACAAAUUUGUGACCUACUUAAAAAAACUAUUGAAAUCACAGUUUGAAAGAAAUUGAUCUGAAAGGAUGCCCUGGAAACUUAAUACAGUUCUAAUACAUUUUGUAAUGCAAGUCUUUUAACUUGAAUAAAAUUUGAUAUCUUA